rnacentral:rRNA from 1 species
AACGAACGCUGGCGGCAUGCCUAACACAUGCAAGUCGAACGAGACCUUCGGGUCUAGUGGCGCACGGGUGCGUAACGCGUUGGAACCUGCCCUUAGGUUCGGAAUAACUCCCCGAAAGGGGUGCUAAUACCUGAUAAUGUCUUCGGACCAAAGAUUUAUCGCCUUUGGAUGGGCCCGCGUUUGAUUCGCUAGUUGGUAGGGUAAAAGCCUACCAAGGCGACGAUCCAUAGCUGGUCUGAGAGGAUGAUCAGCCACACUGGGACUGAGACACGGCCCAGAAUACUACGGGAGGAAGAAGUGGGGAAUAUUGAACAAUAGGAGGAAGAAUGAUCCAGCAAUGCCGCGUAAGUGAUGAAGGCAUUAGAGAAAUAAAGCUCGUUUAACCGGGAAGAUAAUGACAGUACCGGGAGAAUAAGCGCCGGCUAACUCCGUG